rnacentral:rRNA from 1 species
UACGUAGGGACCAAGCGUUGUUCGGAUUUACUGGGCGUAAAGGGCGCGUAGGCGGCAAUUCAAGUCAUCUGUGAAAUCUCCGGGCUUAACUCGGAACGGUUAGAUGAUACUGCUUUGCUAGAGUGCGGAAGGGGCAAUCGGAAUUCUUGGUGUAGCGGUGAAAUGCGUAGAUAUCAAGAGGAACACCUGAGGUGAAGACGGGUUGCUGGGCCGACACUGACGCUGACAGCGCGAAAGCCAGGGGAGCAAACGGG